rnacentral:rRNA from 1 species
GACGAACGCUGGCGGCGUGCUUAACACAUGCAAGUCGAACGGAAAGGCCCUGCCUUUGUGGGGUGCUCGAGUGGCGAACGGGUGAGUAACACGUGAGUAACCUGCCCUUGACUUUGGGAUAACUUCAGGAAACUGGGGCUAUUACCGGAUAGGAGCUCCUGCUGCAUGGUGGGGGUUGGAAAGCUUCGGCGGUUGGGGAUGGACUGGCGGCUUAUCAGCUUGUUGGUGGGGUAGUGGUUUACCAAGGCCUUGACGGGUAGCCGGCCUGAGAGGGUGACCGGCGACAUUGGGACUGAGGUACGGAGCAGACGCCUACGUGAGGCAGCAGUCGAGAGUAUUGCACAAUGGGCGGAAGCCUGAUACAGCAGCGCCGCGUGUGGGAUGACGGCCUUCGGGUUGUAAACCGCUUUCGCCUGUGACGAAGCGUGAGUGACGGUAAUGGGUAAAGAAGCACCGGCUAACUACGUG